CAGCUCCGGCAGCAGAGAAAGGAGGGAGGUCAGAGCAAGCCGCCCUCCCGGAAGGGGAGGGGAGCAGUGAAGGGAGUAGUGUAACUGUCAAAAGGAAAGUUAGAGGUUUGGCGCGCGCGCCAAGUUCAAAUGUAGAGGCGCGCGGAAGUACAGGGAGCCCGGAGGAGGGGCCAGGUCCCAAAGCCCGCAGGAGGGGGGAAGAGCAGUCUGAUUCCGCGUCAGAGGAAUCCAGGAGGGGCGAAACCCCAGCGGGCAGAAGGACCCUGCGGAAAAGGAAGGAGAGAAAGAGGUGGAGCAGCGCAAGCCUCUUAAAUUGGUGUAGGGGAGGGACGGAUUCAGAGGGGACUUCAGCGGUCUAAGCGUAGCAGACGUAAGGCUGCGCGCCUAGGAUGUCAAGCAAACAAUGAACUGCAAUAAACACUUUUGUAUAUAAGAAGACAUAGGCGUUGGUCUUUUGUGAGCUGAGACUUGAGGCAGCCUUGACAGUAAGUCCCCUCUCACAAAACCGCAAAAUUUUUUUUUUUUGCAAAGCUCACGAAGUUUGGCAGAGAUGACUACUGAGGAGCAGAUAGCGUCCCUGCAAAACGCAGUCACCGAGCUCUCCACUGCGGUAGUGGUCUCUCAGAAGACGGUUGCCGAAGCAGAAGCGCGAUGCCAGGAUCUGCAAGCCAGGUG
rnacentral:lncRNA from 1 species